rnacentral:lncRNA from 1 species
GGCAGAUGGUAGUGCUUUAUUUUGUUUACAGAAGUCCUGGAAUGGAAAGAGGAAGUUCACUUCUGAUACCUGUGCUUAAAAAUGGGCUUAAGAAAAAAGAGAUCAUGCUGAAACUAUGACAUCUUCUGCCAGAAAUAACUUCAUAUAAAGUCCUCAUGACACCAAACAAGAGGUUACUAUGGGAAGACAGUUCAAAAUAAUAAGAUUCUCAAUCUAAGAACAAAUGAAUAACGUCUAUGCCGCUUUCAUUACUUUUGUUCCCAGUGACAAAGAUAAAGUUAAUUAUUCAGAGAUAGCAAAGAAGUCUGUUUAUUGAAUGUGACAUGCUAGAUGCAAUUCUGGAUUGCAGUAUAUAGUGACACAAAGAUCAAGCAACUUUUAAUCAGAAUCAAAC